CUCUCCCCAUCAGCCUUUUCUCCAGGUUCUGUGUUGACCUGGCAAAUAUUUCCAGCUGUAAGGAGAUGAAAAGGAGAAGCCUGUCAGCCUGCAGGAGCUACAGAAUGAGCUAUCAAAACCAAGUCCUGCAAGCCGUGCCUAACAAACUUGUUGGCUUUUGAUGAUGAAGUCACAGCAACAGUGGACAAAGGAAGGGCAACUGACGUCAUCUACCUGGACCCGAGUGAGGCAUCUGACUCUGUCCCACAUGGCAUCCUGGUCACCAAACUGGAAAACACAUGGACUUGAUGGGUGGAGCACUGCUGGUAUAAGGGUUUCACUAGGAUGGUCUUCACAUCACUUGAGCCAGGAGAAGAAAUGCAGAAGAAAUUUCAUCUCAGCUAGAGAUCCAGAUGGCUUUCAGCACCCAUCAAGAGCAAAUAA